rnacentral:rRNA from 1 species
UACGUAGGGGGCGAGCGUUGUCCGGAUUUAUUGGGCGUAAAGAGCUCGUAGGCGGCUUGGCAAGUCGGGUGUGAAACCUCCAGGCUCAACCUGGAGACGCCACUCGAUACUGCCAUGGCUAGAGUCCGGUAGGGGACCACGGAAUUCCUGGUGUAGCGGUGAAAUGCGCAGAUAUCAGGAGGAACACCAAUGGCGAAGGCAGCACUCUGGGACGUGACUGACGCUGAGACGCGAAAGCGUGGGGAGCAAACAGG